AACGAACGCUGGCGGCAGGCUUAACACAUGCAAGUCGAACGCAUCCUUCGGGGUGAGUGGCAGACGGGUGAGUAACGCGUGGGAACGUGCCCUUCAGUUCGGGAUAACCCAGGGAAACUUGGGCUAAUACCGGAUACGUGCGAGAGCAGAAAGAUUUAUCGCUGAAGGAUGGGCCCGCGUCGGAUUAGCUAGUUGUUGGGGUAAUGGCCCACCAAGGCGACGAUCAGUGGCUGGUCUGAGAGGAUGAGCAGCCACAUUGGGACUGAGACACGGCCCAAACUCCUACGGGAGGCAGCAGUGGGGAAUAUUGGACAAUGGGCGCAAGCCUGAUCCAGCCAUGCCGCGUGAGUGAUGAAGGCCUUAGGGUUGUAAAGCUCUUUCGUCCGGGACGAUAAUGACGGUACCGGAAGAAGAAGCCCCGGCUAACUUCGUGCCAGCAGCCGCCGUAA
rnacentral:rRNA from 1 species